GGGGCUGUAGCUCAGUUGGUAGAGCGCCUCCAUGGCAUGGAGGAGGCCAGGGGUUCAAUUCCCCUCAGCUCCAC
rnacentral:tRNA from 1 species